rnacentral:rRNA from 1 species
AUACGGAGGGUGCAAGCGUUACUCGGAAUCACUGGGCGUAAAGCGCAUGCAGGCGGUCUGGAAAGUUGGGGGUGAAAUCCCGGGGCUCAACCCCGGAACUGCCUCCAAAACUUCCAAUCUAGAGAUCGAGAGAGGUGAGUGGAAUUCCAAGUGUAGAGGUGAAAUUCGUAGAUAUUUGGAGGAACACCAGUGGCGAAGGCGGCUCACUGGCUCGAUACUGACGCUGAGGUGCGAAAGCGUGGGGAGCAAACAGGAUUAGAAACCCCAGUAGUCC